GACGAACGCUGGCGGCGUGCUUAACACAUGCAAGUCGAACGGAAAGGCCCUGCUUGCAGGGUACUCGAGUGGCGAACGGGUGAGUAACACGUGGGUGAUCUGCCCUGCACUUCGGGAUAAGCUUGGGAAGCUGGGUCUAAUACCGGAUAGGAGCCAUCUUUAGUGUGGUGGUUGGAAAGUUUUUUCGGUGUAGGAUGAGCUCGCGGCCUAUCAGCUUGUUGGUGGGGUAAUGGCCUACCAAGGCGGCGACGGGUAGCCGGCCUGAGAGGGUGUACGGCCACAUUGGGACUGAGAUACGGCCCAGACUCCUACGGGAGGCAGCAGUGGGGAAUAUUGCACAAUGGGCGCAAGCCUGAUGCAGCGACGCCGCGUGGGGGAUGAAGGCCUUCGGGUUGUAAACUCCUUUCGCUAGGGACGAAGCUUUUUGUGACGGUACCUAGAGAAGAAGCACCGGCUAACUACGUG
rnacentral:rRNA from 1 species